UACGGAGGGUGUAAGCGUUGUUCGGAAUCACUGGGCGUAAAGCGCGUGUAGGCGGCCACCUAAGUCCGAUGUGAAAGCCCGGGGCUCACCCCCGGAAGUGCAUCGGAUACUGGGUGGCUGGAGUACCGGAGAGGAGGGUGGAAUUCCUGGUGUAGCGGUGAAAUGCGUAGAUAUCAGGAGGAACACCGGUGGCGAAGGCGACCCUCUGGACGGAUACUGACGCUGAGACGCGAAAGCGUGGGGAGCAAACAGG
rnacentral:rRNA from 1 species